AUGGCCAAGAAGAUGAACAAAAGAAAAAAGAUGGUUAGGGGAGCUACUGUUUUUGUUGCACUAGCUGCAAUGGCAGUCAUUAUUCGGGCUAUAAUAAGGAAAAGAAGACCACGCAUUACCUAUGGGCCAAUGCAUGAAAGAGAUCGAAUCAGAUUUGAUUAUCUAAACCAAAAAAUAUGGCAAAGUGAUGUGUUGUGCAAAAACAUGUUAAGGUUUGAAAGAGCUGCAUUUUUUAAUUUGUGUAGCAUAAUAAGGGAUCGCAAGUUGCUAGAAGACAGUCCACAUCUUAGUGUGGAGCAACAAUUGGCGAUGUUUUUGCAUACAAUUGGGCAUAACCUUCGGAAUAGGGUUGUGUCAGCCAAUUUUUGUAGAUCAUACGACACAACCAGCAUCUAUUUUAGAAAGGUUCUUCAUGCCAUAGGCGAGCUUCGUAAUGAUUAUAUACGGCCACCAUCAUUGGAGACCCCCACAAAAAUUGCAGGAAAUCAUCGGUUUGACCCAUAUUUUAAGGUAAUUUCUAAAACUAUUCGUUAG
rnacentral:rRNA from 1 species